rnacentral:misc_RNA from 1 species
AAAGGAUAUUUAUCGUUCAUUUCGAGGAAAUACAUCUGCAGUAAGUGUCAUCAUAAAUACAAAGCUUCACUUAAAACAAUUGUAAAUUUGCAACACCAUAUACAAAAGUGAGACAAAUAUGUAGUAAAACUUCUAUAAACAAACCUACAAAAGCCUUAAAUCAAAGCAAUUAAUCUACAUGUCAUCCACUCAAGCUCAUUUUCCCCUAUAUCCAAAAAAAAAAUAAAAAUCCCAGCAGUACAACCCAAUCAUACCUACAUAUUACUCCCAGUGGCAUUCUCAAAGAUCUGAUCUUCUGAAUAUCGAUAUUUAUCAAGAAUUGGAAUAUCGAUGAUCAGAUUUUGCUAUGGAACCCAUUAAAACAACCAAAGGAAAUCAUUAGAAUAGUAAAAUAAAGCCUUUUAUUAACUUAAACAAUGACUGUUUGGCCACUGAGUACAUCCUGAAGCUGGAGAGACCCAUCCUUCAUUAGAUUAACACUUAAGCUUUUGAAUCUUUCUCUUGAGUAUUGUCGAGAUGCCUUUCUCCAAUCAGUUCCUGCCUUCAUCAUUCCUACAAACUCCUCGAAACUGAUUUGCCCAUCCUUGUCGGUAUCAACUUCGCGCAUGAUCUCAUUCACUACAUCAGUGUCGCAUGCUCCUGACUCGUCUGCUAAAGCUUCUCGUAGCUCAUCUAGCUCAAUAUAACCACUUCCAUCCUUGUCAAAGAACAUGAAUGCUCUACGAAAAUGCUCAUCAUUUUCCAUUCUCUGUAAGUGGAUUAUAACUGCUACAAACUCCCCAUAGUCCAGGACUCCGUUUCCAUCAACAUCAGCCACAUCCAUCAGCAACUUCAUCUCUGCUUCUGCCAACUGGGAACCAACUUUUCUAAGUCCAGUCUUUAAUUCAUCAUAUGUUAUUUUCCCAUCACCAUCAGAGUCCAUCAGUGCAAACAUCUCUCUAAUUACUUCAAUCUCUUCAAGUUUCAAGUGUUCAGCAAUGACCCGCAAUGCUUUCUUUUUGAAUCUAUUCAUGAUAGAAAAUUGCUUCAGUCGUGUCCUAACAAUAUCUCCCAGUGGAACAUUUGAAGCCUUUUUGGCAUUUUGAAUCCAGGGGUGAUCAAGGACCUGUUGGGCUGUCAACCGCUUCUUGGGGUCAGGUUCCAGCAUCUGUCUGACAAGACUUUUUGCCUUUUCAGAGACUUGAGGCCAUGGUUCCCUCUUGAAAUCUAUCACUCCCCUUAAAAUUGAAAGAGCAACUCCUUGUUCAGUUUCAGCCCAAAAUGGAGGAACCCCACAUAACAAAAUAUAAAGGAUGACACCAGCACUCCAAAUAUCAACUUCUGGUCCAUAAUUCCGCUUCAACACCUCUGGUGCCAUGUAGUAUGGACUUCCCACAAUCUCAGAGAAUCUUUCACCAGGCUUGAAAAAGACAGAUAGGCCAAAAUCGAUGGCCUUAAGAGCAGAAUGCUCUUUCUUAUUAGCAAACAGAAA